UACGUAGGGUGCAGGCGUUAAUCGGAAUUACUGGGCGUAAAGCGUGCGCAGGCGGUUUCUUAAGUCAGAUGUGAAAGCCCCGGGCUUAACCUGGGAACUGCGUUUGAAACUGGGAGACUUGAGUGUGGCAGAGGGGGGUGGAAUUCCACGUGUAGCAGUGAAAUGCGUAGAUAUGUGGAGGAACACCGAUGGCGAAGGCAGCCCCCUGGGUUAACACUGACGUUCAUGCACGAAAGCGUGGGGAGCAAACAGG
rnacentral:rRNA from 1 species